rnacentral:rRNA from 1 species
ACGCUCGACACCUACGGAAGGCAGCAGUGGGGAAUAUUGCACAAUGGGGGAAACCCUGAUGCAGCGACGCCGCGUGAGCGAAGAAGUAUUUCGGUAUGUAAAGCUCUAUCAGCAGGGAAGAAAAUGACGGUACCUGACUAAGAAGCCCCGGCUAACUACGUGCUAGCAGCCGCGGUAAUCUGAGCGGGCUGGCAAGGC